rnacentral:rRNA from 1 species
GACGAACGCUGGCGGCGUGCUUAACACAUGCAAGUCGAACGGAAAGGCCCUGCUUUUGUGGGGUGCUCGAGUGGCGAACGGGUGAGUAACACGUGAGUAACCUGCCCUUGACUUUGGGAUAACUUCAGGAAACUGGGGCUAAUACCGGAUAGGAGCUCCUGCUGCAUGGUGGGGGUUGGAAAGUUUCGGCGGUUGGGGAUUGACUCGCGGCUUAUCAGCUUGUUGGUGGGGUAGUGGCUUACCAAGGCUUUGACGGGUAGCCGGCCUGAGAGGGUGACCGGCCACAUUGGGACUGAGAUACGGCCCAGACUCCUACGGGAGGCAGCAGUGGGGAAUAUUGCACAAUGGGCGGAAGCCUGAUGCAGCAACGCCGCGUGCGGGAUGACGGCCUUCGGGUUGUAAACCGCUUUCGCCUGUGACGAAGCGUGAGUGACGGUAAUGAGUAAAGAAGCACCGGCUAACUACGUG